rnacentral:lncRNA from 1 species
GGAAAAAGCCGCUCGUUUCAACAACACACCGAGCAACCGGACGCAACAACUACGUAAUUCACACUCUCAUUAAAAGAUCAACCGACUGAUUGCCGUUAUCGCAAAGUUCUACAGCAUGUUUUGUUGUUUUUAGUUUCCUUCGGAAUUAAAUACUGGCUGAGCCACGCCCGUCACUAAAUCGGGAAUAAUUGUUCCACUCAGCAACCGUCCAAGCAUGGAAUGCCGUGUCAACAUUGGUUUGAAGACGGGCUUGGAAGCAAUGACUCACUGAAGAUUGCAUACCCAAACCCAAUAAGUAAGCGGUUUUGUACCUUUGUACAGUCUAAAGAAGGCUUCUAUAGGUCAGUCACUGGAUUGAUCGCUUGUUGGCACCUUUCCAGACAAACCGCUUCGAGGAAUCCAACAAUGGCCAACCGAUAGGAAAUUAUCAAAACAAAAAGAAAGGUUGCAGCUAAAAUCCGAGGAAAUUUCGUUAGAAUCCGAGCGUUGGCUGAUUUUUUACAAGACGCUGAGCCUGGACAUGAAGUUCAAAAGGCCUCCUUGUGGUGGAUCAAUCAUAUCAAGAAAAAAUCGAAAUUCCCAAACUAAGGCAACCUACCAGCUAUUUGCAAAUUUGGCACAAUAAAACCAAAUGUUUGAGUGAAAAGCUGCGAAGGUUUCCAUUGAAUUUGAGGGUCGGUUGAUUUUUCAUAAGCCUUUGAACUUGAACAAAGCGAAACUUCCAAACUAGUGGAAAUACCUUCACAUUUUGGGGCAACAAAAAAGAACACUGAGGAACUGAUUCUUUAGAAGAUGCUGACCCUCGACGUGAAACUCAAGAAUCCUCCUAACUUGCAGUGAAUUCGAGCAAAAAAUCGAAAUUUCCAAAUGGGGCACAGUGAAAAUAAAGAUGUGAGUUAAAAGCUGACGAAAAUUAAUUAGGAUCCCUAAAGCUGGCUGAUUUUUACAAAUCAUUUGAUAUUGGACGUCGAAUUGCCGAAUACUCCUAAGUUGCAAAGACGCCACGCUAAAGCACGAGGGGGGAAACUUGCAAACAUGACACAAUAAAAAAGGUUUUAGCGAACAUCUAGAAAAAUCUUAUUAGACUCUCAGCAGUGGCUGACUUUUGCGAAAUUCUUGAGCAUGUACCCGAGCCAGAAAAAAGCCCAAAAGUCCGAACCACUUGAAAAUUUUCCCGUCGCAAUAAGGAAGAUUUGAACGAAAAACUGAGACCAUUUUAGUUCAACCAAUACAAAUGUUGGAACUUUGAUGCAUAGCUAAAAAAAUUUACAUCUGCAUGUAAAUACCUACGUGAAAAUUCGACCAAGACACAACACAUGCAAGCACAGACGCCUAGUCAUAACUGGCUGCAGUUGAAUGGGGCCAAGCCCUUAACACUAGUUGCUCGAAUCACCGAGCCUAACCCAUCUUCAUGUCCAUACAACAACCAGCAACAGGGCCAUUAAGAGCAACAACUUGCUAUAAAAGUAGUGAAACUGUUGUACUUCUGACCUGAUGACCAAUUUAACAACACCAGACCAAUAUCCCCCGGCAAGAAACGUACAGACUGUUUGGGGUUAAGUGGGUCCCCCCAACUGGGGGCCUCGAGCUGCUACUGCAGCCCUGCCAAUGCUGCGUGCUAUAAAUAACCGGUUUGGGCAACCCGUGGUCAAACAGAGGGCAAUUUCCAAUCAAAAUAACUUGAAUUUAACGCAAUUUUUUUCGAAGACAGUCCAAAUGUCGAGGGCUUAUUUGGAACGGUGUCAUCAAGCCGUUGGCUUCCAGUUCCGGCCGCUACCCUUAACACGAACUACUGAAUGUA